UCGUAAAGGGAUACUUCUUUCGGACGAUAUUACAAGGUGCUGCAUGGUUGUCGUCAGCUCGUGCCGUGAGGUGUCGGGUUAAGUCCCAUAACGAGCGCAACCCUACCUUUAGUUGCCAUCAGGUAAUGCUGGGGACUCUAAAGGAACUGCCUACGCAAGUAGUGAGGAAGGCGGGGAUGACGUCAAAUCAGCACGGCCCUUACGUCCAGGGCUACACACGUGCUACAAUGGCCGAUACAGAGGGCAGCUACCUGGUGACAGGAUGCAAAUCUCCAAAGUCGGUCUCAGUUCGGAUCGGAGUCUGCAACCCGACUCCGUGAAGUUGGAUUCGCUAGUAAUCGCGCAUCAGCCAUGGCGCGGUGAAUACGUUCCCGGGCCUU
rnacentral:rRNA from 1 species